GCACAAGAAGUUAUGGGAGACGUGUAUCCAUGGAGAAGUGCCGGCUUCCAGCCCUUUGCGGCUUUUGCAGUGGAUGACCGUGUGGAGAUGCUAAGCGGUGGACAGCGGCAGAACACUAGGAAACAGAAGGCUUGGGACAAACACAUCAGAACCCAUGUCCUUGAAACAUGAAGUCAUUGAAGUACACAAAAGCCACAGUCUGUGGUUGUGCAGGGAAGAGAGGCACUUGGAUGCUCCUGCCUUCUAGCUUGCGGUUCCAGAAGGACCACACGUCAUUGCCUGCCACCACAGAUGCCAAUACGCCCAGAUUGGAAAUGACUCUAAGCUAUGACUUUCCACAGAGCCAGCAGUCUGAGAAGAAAGAAUUCACAUCCCAUCGAGCAGGCCAGAUGUAUCAGCACAUGUUUUUUAACCCAGCACUUGGGAGACCGA
rnacentral:lncRNA from 1 species